rnacentral:rRNA from 1 species
GAUGAACGCUAGCGGCAGGCCUAAUACAUGCAAGUCGGACGGGAUUGGAGAGCUUGCUUUCCAUGAGAGUGGCGCACGGGUGCGUAACACGUAUGUAACCUACCUUAAUCUGGGGGAUAGCCUCUCGAAAGAGAGAUUAACACCGCAUAACAUUACCGGACAGCAUUUUUUGGUAAUCAAAUAUUUAUAGGAUUAAGAUGGGCAUGCGGAACAUUAGCUAGUUGGUAAGGUAACGGCUUACCAAGGCUACGAUGUUUAGGGGAUCUGAGAGGAUGACCCCCCACACUGGUACUGAGACACGGACCAGACUCCUACGGGAGGCAGCAGUAAGGAAGAUUGGUCAAUGGGCGCAAGCCUGAACCAGCCAUGCCGCGUGCAGGAAGACGGCCCUACGGGUUGUAAACUGCUUUUGUACCGGAAUAAACCCUUUUACGUGUAAGAGGCUGAAUGUACGGUAAGAAUAAGGAUCGGCUAACUCCGUGCCAGCCGCCGCGGUAA